UGCGUUUUGUCACUUUGAGGCCAGCGAAAUAAUCUCUUUAAAAUCACAGCGAAAAUUGCAAGUAUGCAGCCUUUAGUUUAUGCCCUUUAGGCUUCCUCCUGUAGUAACACUGGACCAAUAACAGAAAGUUUAUAGAGAACCUCUAGGAAGAACAGUUUAGAACUGACCGAGUGAUCCUAAACGCAUGUUUCGUUUCAUUUAAUAGACUGGGUUUUUAUUCUAUUUUCAGCCUCUUUUCAUCAUCGAUGUCCUCAUGGGAUGUGUAUUGAACUACUCUCUGUUUCUUUGUGCGACCAUGAAUUCUGCUUUAACAACAAGGUAAAUCAUGAAAAUUGUACAGUACUACGCAGAAGUCGACGAGGGUCCUAACAACGUCUCAAUUUUUUCACGUUGUUCAGACCCCCAUUCUAAAUGUACGAGAAUUGUCACCUUCUGUCCGUUUGAUACGCAAUCCGCGAUCCAAUCAUUUUUGGCAUCUGGGUUCCAACCACGUAACAUAUCGCACAAGUGGUUUUUCGGACCUGCAAGAAAGUUAUAAAAAUUCUGUUACGAGUGUUAUCAAAGCGAUAAACAGAAUGUGGCCUCGUUGCUUGUUCUCAGUUGUUGCAAAACAUUU
rnacentral:lncRNA from 1 species